rnacentral:miRNA from 1 species
AUUUAAAAUUAUUGAUUUGUCA